AGUACGUGAAACUGCUUAGAGGUUAAACCCGAUGAACCUGAAUAUCCAUUAUGGAAAAUUCAUCAUUAAUGAUAAAAUAUGUAAGAAAUAUUUUAGAAAUAGUGUGCAAUUUUUCCAUAUAAGGACAUUGUAAUCUGUUAAUGUAGUAAAUAUUUAUCAUAAGAUUCAUUACACUAAGUUUAUUCAAAUUGGUUAUUUUCGGAUAAUUAACAUAGAAUAAAUGUUUUGGAUUUGAUAAAUCAUUGACAGAUAUAAUUAUAUAAUGUGCUUAAAUUCUUUUGAAUUUUAUCAAUGGUAGAAAAUUUUAUUUUGUAUUUAAUUGAUAUGCACUAUUAUGAUUAACAAUGCGAGAGAUUCAGGAUACCUUCGGGACCCGUCUUGAAACACGG
rnacentral:rRNA from 1 species